rnacentral:rRNA from 1 species
CUACGGGAGGCUCCAGUGAGGAAUAUUGCACAAUGGGGGGAACCCUGAUGCAGCAACGCCGCGGAGGAUGACGCAUUUCGGUGUGUAAACUCCUUUUAUAUGUCAAGAAAAUGACGGUAGCAUAUGAAUAAGCACCGGCUAACUCCGUGCCAGCAGCCGCGGUAAUACGGAGGGUGCAAGCGUUACUCGGAAUCACUGGGCGUAAAGGACGCGUAGGCGGGUUGGAAAGUCAGGUGUGAAAUCCUACAGCUUAACUGUAGAACUGCACUUGAAACUUCUAAUCUAGAGUAUGGGAGGGGGAGAUGGAAUUAGUGGUGUAGGGGUAAAAUCCGUAGAUAUCACUAGGAAUACCUAAAGCGAAGGCGAUCUCCUGGAACAUUACUGACGCUAAGGCGUGAAAGCGUGGGGAGCAAACAGGAUUAGAUACCCGCGUAGUC